GACGAACGCUGGCGGCGUGCUUAACACAUGCAAGUCGAACGGGCCCGCCCCUGUUUUUGGGGGUGGGUUGAGUGGCGAACGGGUGAGUAUCACGUGAGUAACCUGCCCCCUGCUCCUGGAUAACUGCUUGAAAGGGCGGCUAAUACGGGGUGUGCCGGCUGGUCCGCAUGGGCCUGGUCGGGAUAGUUUCAUCUUCGGGUGUUUCGGUGGGGGAUGGGCUCGCGGCCUAUCAGCUUGUUGGUGGGGUGAUGGCCCACCAAGGCGGUGACGGGUAGCCGGCCUGAGGGGGUGGGCGGCCGCACUGGGACUGGGACACGGCCCAGACGCCUGCGGGAGGCAGCAGUGGGGGGUAUUGCACAAUGGGCGGAAGCCUGAUGCGGCGACGUCGCGUGAGGGAUGGAGGCCUUCGGGUUGUGAACCUCUUUCUCCGGUGGUGAAGGCCCUGUCCGUUGCGGCGGGGUUGACGGUAGCCGGGUAUGAAGCGCCGGCUAACUACGUG
rnacentral:rRNA from 1 species